UUUACCAGAAAAAAGUUGAUUCCACAAUUUUCUAUGAAGAUUCUAAUCGUGAAACGGCGUCGUUUUCGUCGUCGCCUGCGUCCUCCACGGAAGCCAUGGAUGAUGACGACGUGGCCUCACCCAAGUUCCCCGAGCCCUUCCAAGAUUCCGUCUCCCACGAUUCUCGGAUUAUGACAGAAUCUCUCGUUCCUCCUCCACCGUCAUUUCUCGAACACAGUGCCACCUCCCUCAGAUAUCUCAGUUGCUCUACCUAGAAAGCAGGAGAUUCCUUCAGUAACACAGGAAACCGGGGCUGUUUGGAAAUGCUUUUAACAAGCAGAGAUAUAAAUAUCGUUUGCUGUCCUCAAAAGACGAGAAAGGAAAACCAGCCCACUAACCUUUCAAAGGUAAGAGAAUAUUUAGUACUUUGAUAGGGUAGGAAGAACUCAAAGGCAUAUGUAGCAUGUGAUGAAGUAGUUGAAAGUUGUCACUGAUUUGUAAAGAACUAGUUGAAAUUAAUUGUAUCUUUGAUCUGAUUAAUGCAAUUUGAUUGGUCAUUACCAUAAUCGAGUGUCAGCUCUUGUGCCCUGCCCAGGUGAUCAUGCAACCUUUACAAGAAAUUUGUGCUUGUUAGUACUUUUAAACUGCACAUUCUCCAAGCUAUUGACUGGAAAUUAGGGACCAUAAAAGUCAUUUGUUGAAUUUGUUUUUAUGUUAAUGCUUGUUCAACUGAUGGCUUCUAUUGCAGUGGGCCGCAACAUCGGAAAAACCAACAAAAUGAUUUCUAUAUUACAUGAGGAAUUGGUAUUAAAAAGAAUAUUGGUUGGACAAUUGCUUGGCCGACAAGCUGUGUAGUUGACAUUGAUAAUUCCGCACCAUUUGAGGCAGAAAUAAUGGCAGGUCCUUAGUAGUUCUUGUGAUAAUAGUAGAGCAAUAAUUAUAAUUGUGCAUCUAUAGUAGCCUACAUAUCUCUAGUUGGAAGGCGCCACUAGUGGAUUUUUAUACUGCUGAUAUAUAAGAUAUGCUAGAGACCGAUAACGCAUGAAAGUAUUUAUCAUUUACAUCUUGGUUAGGCAUCAAGCAUAUGAUCUCAGACUGAAAACUAAAAGUUGUAGGGAUUCAAGCCUCUGAGAACCAAUGGGCAUGAAUCAAAUAUCUUUUAGCCUAUAAAGUGUACAAAUAUUGGUCAAUUCUAUUUGGUUAUAUUUUGUAACAUGUUAUGCAGCUGAGUCUUUGUGAUGAAGUUGGAAUCUAUCACUCCUUCCCUAGUCUUUGUAACAUGUUUAUUUCUAUUAGUUUUAAGACCCGUUACACAAGGAAGGAUACCGACUCCUUUUAGAAGAACUCCUCAUCCCAAGUUAGUAAACCUCUAGUUAAUGGCAUAAACAUGAGACCUUGAUGUGUAAAAUACGACAAAUAGCUGUCUUGAGAGGCGAAAAAUCCCUGUGCGACGGUCAAGUGUAAAUGGUAUACGCACCUCUCAAUGCCUCCCAUAUAAACCAUCAAAACACAAUCCCACAUGAACAUUCCUUAAACCUCCAAACACUACAUCCCGUUCUCACCAAGCACAAGGUAUCCCUUGCAUUUCCUCUGCCUAAGUAACCUCCUUUUACGUUUUGUCUUUCUUUUCCUCAUGCUUAUCAGAAACUAACCUUUCUUUAUUAUGUUGACCCUUGAGGAACAUAAGCAAGGCUAGGGAAGAGGGGAGACAAUGAAGAGGUGUGGGACACGUGGCUAAACCGAAACUGAAAGUGACUGGACAAGUGGAGAUGAGACAGCCGGCGCCAAUUUCGCUGUAGGACCAUGUCUUAAUGGCUGAUACAUCACUGGAGUUUUGCAGCAAGCAUGAGGUACUGCCAUCUUCCUUCACAAUAAGGGCACAUAUUUUCUCUCUUUCUUUUUCAUUCUCUGAACUGUAACAAACUGAGAAUCAGCCAUUUUUGUCAGCCAUGAGUGACGCACUACACUGCUUGUUGACUGAUCUUCAACGUCUUAAUUAGAGGAAAGUGUGUUGAUAUGUAACUUCUUAAAAGUCAUUUGUGGGUCUGGCUGCUUAUUUUUCAAUCAAAUUUUGUCAAUUCAAGAGGACC